CCUACGGGAGGCAGCAGUGAGGAAUAUUGGUCAAUGGACGAGAGUCUGAACCAGCCAAGUAGCGUGAAGGAUGACUGCUCUAUGGGUUGUAAACUUCUUUUAUAUGGGAAUAAAAUGUUCCACGUGUGGGAUUUUGUAUGUACCAUAUGAAUAAGGAUCGGCUAACUCCGUGCCAGCAGCCGCGGUAAUACGGAGGAUCCGAGCGUUAUCCGGAUUUAUUGGGUUUAAAGGGAGCGUAGGUGGAUUGUUAAGUCAGUUGUGAAAGUUUGCGGCUCAACCGUAAAAUUGCAGUUGAAACUGGCAGUCUUGAGUACAGUAGAGGUAGGCGGAAUUCGUGGUGUAGCGGUGAAAUGCUUAGAGAUCACGAAGAACACCGAUUGCGAAGGCAGCUCACUGGACUGCAACUGACACUGAGGCUCGAAAGUGUGGGUAGCAAACAGGAUUAGAUACCCCAGUAGUC
rnacentral:rRNA from 1 species